GGACUACCAGGGUAUCUAAUCCCGUUCGCUACCCUGGCUUUCGUGUGUGAGCGUCAGGAACGCGCCAGUACAGUGCCUUCGCCUUUGGUGUUCCCCAUGAUAUCAACGGAUUUCACCCCUCCACCAUGAGUUCCCUGUACCUCUCGCGCCCUCGAGCCCUACCGUUUCCCUUGCGCGCCGUAGGUUGAGCCCACGGAUUUUACAAGAGACUAAUAGGGCCGCCUGGACACCCUUUACGCCCAGUGAUUCCGGGUAAUGCUUGGACCCUCUGUAUUACCGCGGCUGCUGGCAC
rnacentral:rRNA from 1 species